CGCUCGGCUGGCUGGUGCGCUGCUAGAUUGUGUAAACGGAAAAUUUAAUUCUAAUAUCAAGUUACGAAAUCUGAUUCAACGAUGGAAAACGACAAAAUUUAGCACUCCCGACUAUGAAUUGGCGAAAUUGGAUGAAAUUUACAAGAUACCGUCCCGUUUUCCCUAUUGCGUGAAAUUACGUUAGCCGCGCGAUUGCGAUUGAAAUCAAUACGAACGGAAAGGAGGAAACGAGAUAUAACGGCGAAAGACAGUGUGCAGGGGCGAGGAAGAUGCUAAAAGGAGGUCACGGUAUAUAGCAUGAGAGCGAAACUGGAGCAGACAGGGAAAGAUAUCUGUUCGUUUUAGCCGCAGCUUCUCUACUUGUUCGAUCCUUCUCCUUCGUCCUCCAGCCUCCGAAGGUGUAUUCAUUUUAUUUCAAGUGCAGAAGAUGCAAAGAGAUAAAACUAAACUGUACUGAUUCGUGCCGAGAAGAAACGGCAGGAAGCCGCGCUUAAAAAGAAUCGUACAUUUUCAGCGCACGAGGAAUUGUAAACGAAGCUUUACGUCUCGUUUCAGCAUAAUGAUCAAUUUCACGCAAGUCAGUGUGACGUAUAGCCAAGAACGUCAAAUUGGGUAUGUUGUUGCACUCAAUUUGGCAGAUAGGACUGCUUUUACGAAGCGGAGAAGGUGAAUUUCACGGAACUUUUCAGCGACCAGAUCUCCUUAUAGCGUGCCAUGAAGUAAGCACGCGAGAUCGUUCGCACGGUUUGUCAGUUGGUGCCGGAAGAAGCCUCCACCACGCGGAAUAGCAUCCUCAUACAUAACACUGUGGACUAGAGCAAACGUAAGAAGGCCCCGGGACGCAAGGUCAAGGUUAAGUACAUGGCGAGCAAGUAUAGCGCGUACUUUAAUCGAUACCACAUCGUCAGCGCCACCGUGGCCGUUCGUCGGCGUCGCGACGACCGCUGCGUCGCCCACAAAGAAGCUCCAGGCGAAAGUUCAUCCUCGGAGCAACAAUCCUCGAUAUGCGAUUCCAAGCAUCGAAGUGUUAUCGAUUUGCGCCACAAAGAUCGACAAAAAUAUCAGGAGAUACAUGAAAAGGCCA